ensembl:lncRNA
GAAAGAGAGAGAGAGAGAGAGAGAGAGAGAGAGAGAGAGAGAGAGAGUCUGAGAGAGAGAGAGACAGAGAGAGAGAGAGAGAGAGAGACAGAGAGAGAGAGAGAGAGAGAGAGAGAGAGAGAGAGAGAGAGAGAGAGAGAGAGAGAGAGAGAGAGAGAGAGUUGCACUAUCAAAAGUUUUAUUUUAUUUUUACACGUAGAACGGUUUGUUUACACACACAUUAGCACAGUUACAUUUUUACUAGAAUAGAAACUAGCGUACAUAUGAACUAGCAUGUAUCAGCAAAAAAUAAUAAAUAAAUAAAAUUGAUAACAAUCACUGAAAAAAUAAACAGGACAAAAAAUAACAACAACCUACACACAAAAAUAAACAACGGCGGGAAAAAAAGAAACUCAAAUAAAAGUUAGAAAAAUUUGAAAAUCCAAACUAAAAACUAAUAAAACUUUAAAAAAUAAAAAAUAAAAAUAACUCUAAG